CUAAGAGACGGGGGAAGCCUGUCCGAUAGGGCGUUUCGCGCGAGCUUCGCAAGGGAAUCGGGUUAAAAUUCUUGAACCAGGACGUGGCGGUUGACGGCAACGUUAGGAAGUCCGGAGACGUCGGCGGGGGCCUCGG
rnacentral:ncRNA from 1 species